UGGUGAUACGGAGAGGUCAGAAAGCUGCUGGUUGUGCUGUGAGAACCUAAGGGACAUGUGGCCGUGUAAGGGCCAGAUAAGGAGAAACCAUCCUCCCCUUUGCCAGCUCCCAAAUUUUCUUUCUGCCCGAGGAAAACAAAAGUGCCUGAAGACCAAUAAUAUACUGGGUGUUUGAAGAAGACUUGUCCAUGGAAGACUGUGCUGUACCCUACUUAAAAUAGAAGCAUCUCAAACAUCUUUUGGAAGAUUCUGAUUAUUAGGAUAUUGAAACUGAUGGACUCAGAUCACAUCUGGUUUUAUUUUUGCCUCUUUGGUAGAAAAUAAGGAAACAACUUACUUAAUCAACACACCCAAAAGAAGAAGCUUUUGUGAAAGGAACAAGAGGAGAAAAAUGCUGGGGUGAGGAGGAAUGAGGAGGUAAAAUCUGAAGAAGCCCAUUAAAACUGAGGCAUCCAGUCAGAGCAGAUAUUAAUACAGGAGGCAUCUGCAUGCUAGGUCUACUCUCAUUUCCAUGUGCAAAUGAUACAGAUGCUAAGCACAUGUCUGAAAGCCUUUAAAUAUGUCUUCUCAGAUGCUGAACUGAGGUCUAUGAUCAGCCUGUGAUGACAAUAGCACUGAACGAAAAUCCAGUUGCAAUCCUGCUUAAACUCAAUGGAAAAGAAUCUGCAUUUAACCACAGUGC